rnacentral:rRNA from 1 species
UGCCAGCCGCCGCGGUAACACGGGGGGCGCAAGCGUUGUUCGGAAUUACUGGGCGUAAAGCGCACGUAGGCGGAUUAGUAAGUUAGGGGUGAAAUCCCGGGGCUCAACCCCGGAACUGCCCUCAAAACUGUCGAUCUAGAGACCGGGAGAGGUAAGCGGAAUUCCUAGUGUAGAGGUGAAAUUCGUAGAUAUUAGGAAGAACACCAGUGGCGAAGGCGGCUUACUGGACCGGUACUGACGCUGAGGUACGAAAGCGUGGGGAGCGAACAGGAUUAGAUA